rnacentral:rRNA from 1 species
CCUACGGGGUGCUGCAGUGAGGAAUAUUGGUCAAUGGCCGGAAGUCUGAACCAGCCAUGCCGCGUGAAGGUCAGUGCCUUUCGGGCGUUAAACUUCUUUUGUGCGGGAGCAAUAAUGGUCACGUGUGGCCAGACGAGAGUAACGUACGAAUAAGCAUCAGCUAACUCCGUGCCAGCAGCCGCGGUAAUACGUAGGUGGCAAGCGGUGUCCGGAUUUACUGGGUGUAAAGGGCGUGCAGCCGGGAAGACAAGUCAGAUGUGAAAUCCCGCGGCUCAACCGCGGAACUGCAUUUGAAACUGUUUUUCUUGAGUACAGGAGAGGUCAGCGGAAUUCCUGGUGUAGCGGUGAAAUGCGUAGAUAUAAGGAAGAACACCAGUGGCGAAGGCGGAUGACUGGACGGCAACUGACGGUGAGGCGCGAAAGCGUGGGGAGCAAACAGGAUUAGAUACCCGUGUAGUC